rnacentral:rRNA from 1 species
AUUGAACGCUGGCGGCAUGCUUUACACAUGCAAGUCGAACGGCAGCGCGGGCUUCGGCCUGGCGGCGAGUGGCGAACGGGUGAGUAAUGCAUCGGAACGUGCCCAGUAGUGGGGGAUAGCCCGGCGAAAGCCGGAUUAAUACCGCAUACGACCUGAGGGUGAAAGCGGGGGACCGAAAGGCCUCGCGCUAUUGGAGCGGCCGAUGUCGGAUUAGCUAGUUGGUGGGGUAAAGGCUUACCAAGGCGACGAUCCGUAGCUGGUCUGAGAGGACGACCAGCCACACUGGGACUGAGACACGGCCCAGACUCCUACGGGAGGCAGCAGUGGGGAAUUUUGGACAAUGGGGGCAACCCUGAUCCAGCCAUGCCGCGUGCGGGAAGAAGGCCUUCGGGUUGUAAUCCGCUUUUGUUCGGGAAGAAAUCCUCUGGGCUAAUACCCCGGGGGGAUGACGGUACCGGAAGAAUAAGCACCGGCUAACUACGUG